UACAGAGGGGGGCAAGCGUUAUUCGGAAUUAUUGGGCGUAAAGGGCGCGUAGGCGGCCAUUCAAGUGACGGGUGAAAGCCCUCGGCUUAACCGAGGAACUGCCUGUCAGACUGGAUGGCUUGAGACCGGGAGAGGUGAGUGGAAUUCCCAGUGUAGCGGUGAAAUGCGCAGAUAUCAGGAGGAACACCGAUGGCGAAGGCAGGUCUCUGGGCCGAUACUGACGCUGAUGCGCGAAAGCCAGGGGAGCAAACGGG
rnacentral:rRNA from 1 species